rnacentral:rRNA from 1 species
UACAGAGGUCCCAAGCGUUGUUCGGAUUCACUGGGCGUAAAGGGUGCGUAGGCGGUCGGGUAAGUCUGACGUGAAAUCUUCAAGCUCAACUUGGAAACUGCGUCGGAUACUAUUCGGCUGGAGGAAUGGAGGGGAGACUGGAAUACUUGGUGUAGCAGUGAAAUGCGUAGAUAUCAAGUGGAACACCAGUGGCGAAGGCGAGUCUCUGGACAUUUCCAUGACGCUGAGGCACGAAAGCCAGGGGAGCAAACGGG